UACGUAGGGUGCGAGCGUUAAUCGGAAUCACUGGGCGUAAAGGGCGUGUAGGCGGGAAGGCAAGUCAGAUGUGAAAUCCCCAGGCUCAACCUGGGAACUGCAUUUGAAACUCCCUUUCUUGAGUACCGGAGAGGAAAGUGGAAUUCCUGGUGUAGAGGUGAAAUUCGUAGAUAUCAGGAGGAACACCAGUGGCGAAGGCGGCUUUCUGGACGGUAACUGACGCUGAGACGCGAAAGCGUGGGGAGCAAACAGG
rnacentral:rRNA from 1 species